rnacentral:RNase_P_RNA from 1 species
GAAGCUGACUAGACAGUCGCCGUCUUAUUAUAAUCCAACUUAUAAGAAUAAGAGGGAGGAAAGUCCGGGCUCCAUAGGGUAGGGUGCCAGGUAACACCUGGGUAGCGUAAGCUAACGACUAGUGCAACAGAAAGCAUACCGCCGACAAUCGUUAUAACAUUAGGAUUAUAGGCAAGGGUGAAAAGGUGUGGUAAGAGCACACCGCGCGACUGGCAACAGAUUGCGGCAUGGUAAACUCCACUCGGAGCAAAGCCAAAUAGGAGUUCACUAAUACGACCCGUACAGAACUCGGGUAGGCUGCUUGAGCUAGUAAGCGAUUGCUAGUCUAGAUAAAUGACUGUCCUCGACAGAACCCGGCUUAUAAGUCAGCUUCACAA